rnacentral:rRNA from 1 species
GAAUGUUAUCACGGGAGACACACGGCGGGUGCUAACGUCCGUCGUGAAGAGGGAAACAACCCAGACCGCCAGCUAAGGUCCCAAAGUCAUGGUUAAGUGGGAAACGAUGUGGGAAGGCCCAGACAGCCAGGAUGUUGGCUUAGAAGCAGCCAUCAUUUAAAGAAAGCGUAAUAGCUCACUGGUCGAGUCGGCCUGCGCGGAAGAUGUAACGGGGCUAAACCAUGCACCGAAGCUGCGGCAGCGACGCUGAUGCGUUGUUGGGUAGGGGAGCGUUCUGUAAGCCUGCGAAGGUGUGCUGUGAGGCAUGCUGGAGGUAUCAGAAGUGCGAAUGCUGACAUAAGUAACGAUAAAGCGGGUGAAAAGCCCGCUCGCCGGAAGACCAAGGGUUCCUGUCCAACGUUAAUCGGGGCAGGGUGAGUCGACCCCUAAGGCGAGGCCGAAAGGCGUAGUCGAUGGGAAACAGGUUAAUAUUCCUGUGCUUGGUGUUACUGCGAAGGGGGGACGGAGAAGGCUAUGUUGGCCGGGCGACGGUUGUCCCGGUUUAAGCGUGUAGGCUGGUUUUCCAGGCAAAUCCGGAAAAUCAAGGCUGAGGCGUGAUGACGAGGCACUACGGUGCUGAAGCAACAAAUGCCCUGCUUCCAGGAAAAGCCUCUAAGCAUCAGGUAACAUCAAAUCGUACCCCAAACCGACACAGGUGGUCAGGUAGAGAAUACCAAGGCGCUUGAGAGAACUCGGGUGAAGGAACUAGGCAAAAUGGUGCCGUAACUUCGGGAGAAGGCACGCUGAUAUGUAGGUGAAGUCCCUCGCGGAUGGAGCUGAAAUCAGUCGAAGAUACCAGCUGGCUGCAACUGUUUAUUAAAAACACAGCACUGUGCAAACACGAAAGUGGACGUAUACGGUGUGACGCCUGCCCGGUGCCGGAAGGUUAAUUGAUGGGGUCAGCGCAAGCGAAGCUCUUGAUCGAAGCCCCGGUAAACGGCGGCCGUAACUAUAACGGUCCUAAGGUAGCGAAAUUCCUUGUCGGGUAAGUUCCGACCUGCACGAAUGGCGUAAUGAUGGCCAGGCUGUCUCCACCCGAGACUCAGUGAAAUUGAACUCGCUGUGAAGAUGCAGUGUACCCGCGGCAAGACGGAAAGACCCCGUGAACCUUUACUAUAGCUUGACACUGAACAUUGAGCCUUGAUGUGUAGGAUAGGUGGGAGGCUUUGAAGUGUGGACGCCAGUCUGCAUGGAGCCGACCUUGAAAUACCACCCUUUAAUGUUUGAUGUUCUAACGUGGACCCGUAAUCCGGGUUGCGGACAGUGUCUGGUGGGUAGUUUGACUGGGGCGGUCUCCUCCUAAAGAGUAACGGAGGAGCACGAAGGUUGGCUAAUCCUGGUCGGACAUCAGGAGGUUAGUGCAAUGGCAUAAGCCAGCUUGACUGCGAGCGUGACGGCGCGAGCAGGUGCGAAAGCAGGUCAUAGUGAUCCGGUGGUUCUGAAUGGAAGGGCCAUCGCUCAACGGAUAAAAGGUACUCCGGGGAUAACAGGCUGAUACCGCCCAAGAGUUCAUAUCGACGGCGGUGUUUGGCACCUCGAUGUCGGCUCAUCACAUCCUGGGGCUGAAGUAGGUCCCAAGGGUAUGGCUGUUCGCCAUUUAAAGUGGUACGCGAGCUGGGUUUAGAACGUCGUGAGACAGUUCGGUCCCUAUCUGCCGUGGGCGCUGGAGAACUGAGGGGGGCUGCUCCUAGUACGAGAGGACCGGAGUGGACGCAUCACUGGUGUUCGGGUUGUCAUGCCAAUGGCACUGCCCGGUAGCUAAAUGCGGAAGAGAUAAGUGCUGAAAGCAUCUAAGCACGAAACUUGCCCCGAGAUGAGUUCUCCCUGACUCCUUGAGAGUCCUGAAGGAACGUUGAAGACGACGACGUUGAUAGGCCGGGUGUGUAAGCGCAGCGAUGCGUUGAGCUAACCGGUACUAAUGAACCGUGAGGCUUAACCUUACAACGCCGAAGCUGUU